CUAAAGGCAGUGUGAGGAAUCAUGGUUGAAGCAGCGUGAGAGAGCACAGCACAGUCCUGAAACUCAAGUCAGGUAGAGGAUAUGUCUGGGUUUCCUGGUUGAGAAGGGAGAAGUAGUAAAAUGGAAACUCAAUUUCUGAACUUCACAAGAUUAUAGAAGCCUCCUGAACUCCUGUGGCUUGUGGACACUUCGUUUUCAGAACCCGGAAAAAAUGGAAUGUGUCUCAUGCUUCCUUGCUCUGACCAUCGCUAUCUUCUUCCUUCUCUUUUAUGAGCUAGUGUAGCUACUCUAGCCUAUGUGGAUCGCCCAGGACAUGCUCUUCAUCUUAAAGGCAGCUGAUUAAACCAUGAAUUGCAUCCUCAA